UCCCGGCCCCCAGCGCUCAGCCUGCGCGCUCCGCCCUCUCACCGACGAGGUCCCCGAGCCCAGGCUCACGUUCAUGACUCUGUCGAUGCGGCGCCGCAGGACCCGCAGCCAGUGCGCCUGCCCGGAGUGCUGGGCCAUGUAGGGCUCCAGGUACGGCCACUUCUUGUUCAGCUCACGGUUCACGAGGGCCAGCUCGCCAUUGAACAGCAUGUAGAGAUCCACCGCCUUCUUGUCAUAUGUUCGCUUGAUAGCCUGACGGACGAGAGGACGCUGACAACACAGCGAGGGCAGGUGGCUCCCCGUCCCGCUCCCAAGCCAUCCAGACACUGGGGGACCAGUGGGACGAUAAGAGACACUGGCAACUUAGAGAGGGCGUGGGCAGAGGCUGGAGGGCGUGUGGAAGGAGCAGGAGGAAAGCAUAAGAAGCAGGGCUGGAGGAGGCGGCGAGCAGCCGCACCUCUCGGGCUGCGAGCCGGUGGAAGGUGUCCAGCAGCAGCACCCCGUGCUCCACGUCGCGGACGAGCUCGAAGGCGGAGGUGAUCAAGUUCUGAGUCAUCACCUCCAGGUCCUUGACUCCAGCCCGGAACCUGCACCAUUGGAGGCACGUCGAAGGGUGCGGGCCUCGCCUGGCCCCGAGUUCUGCCCUGAGCAGGACUCCGAGGUCUUACGUCCUGAGGGCUCCCAAGGUGCAGACACCGCGUGCUUGACCUGCAGUUAGUCCUCAAAACAACGCACUGAGGCAAGGCCUUAUUGCUAACAACAGUAUUUUACAGGUGAGGAAACCGCGGCUGCAGCUGGGAGAGCAAUUGCCCAGAGUCCCCUCACCAGUUUGUGGCAGACCCGGGAUCUGCACCCAGAGAAAGGCUGACUCUGGAACCCUGAGUCGGAGCGGCCACCUCCUUCCUUGUGCUCCCCCAACCCCGUUCCUGGCCCCGCCUCUGGCCCCCGCAGCCCCUCCCCAGCCGGAAGCCCUCACCUGUUGUAGUCUUCAUGCCAAGAGGUGUUCUUGACGUCCAGGAUGCCACCUCGCACGGCUCGCAGCACGUGCAGGUUUUUAUGAAAGAUGUCCUCGAUCUCCAGCAAGUUCCGCGUUAUCUGGGGCCCCUGAGCUCCAAAGAAGCAGGGAAGGGGGCCUUGCUUGCCAUCUUCCCAGCGGGCGAAAUGAUACUGACAGUCACAUACCUGCAAGGAAGGCGGCAUGAGGCCCCCUGCCCUCCCUUCUGAAUGUGUUAGGUCCUGAGCACUGUGGUGUAGCUUAAAACGUCUAGAAACUAAGGGGACCAAGCAGACGCAAGGGACUGCCGGGGCUUGAAUUUUAGCUGCAGAAUGAAACAUGAGGCACUAAGGCAGGGGGAGCGGGCACAGGUCUCAAAAGUCGGGAUGGUGGUCGGACACAGAGAUGCUGGAGGGUCAAAGCAGCGAGCUCCAAGAGCAAGCGCAGGCCCAGCCCCAGGCCCCCCGCUCCGGCAGCCCCGCUGUCGG
rnacentral:lncRNA from 1 species